AGUGAACGCUGGCGGCAGGCCUAACACAUGCAAGUCGAGCGGCAGCGCGGGGGCAACCCUGGCGGCGAGCGGCGGACGGGUGAGGAAUUCGUCGGAAUCUGCCUUUUUGUGGGGGAUAACGUAGGGAAACUUACGCUAAUACCGCAUACGUCCUACGGGAGAAAGUGGGGGAUCGCAAGGCCUCACGCAGAAAGAUGAGCCGACGACCGAUUAGCUAGUUGGUGGGGUAAAGGCCCACCAAGGCGACGAUCGGUAGCUGGUCUGAGAGGAUGAUCAGCCACACUGGGACUGAGACACGGCCCAGACUCCUACGGGAGGCAGCAGUGGGGAAUAUUGGACAAUGGGCGCAAGCCUGAUCCAGCCAUGCCGCGUGUGUGAAGAAGGCCUUCGGGUUGUAAAGCACUUUUGUCCGGAAAGAAAUCCCUGGAGCUAAUACCUUCGGGGGAUGACGGUACCGGAAGAAUAAGCACCGGCUAACUUCGUG
rnacentral:rRNA from 1 species